UACGUAGGGUGCGAGCGUUGUCCGGAAUUAUUGGGCGUAAAGGGCUCGUAGGCGGUUUGUCGCGUCGGGAGUGAAAUCCUACGGCUUAACUGUGGGCUUGCUUUCGAUACGGGCAGACUAGAGGUAUGCAGGGGAGAACGGAAUUCCUGGUGUAGCGGUGAAAUGCGCAGAUAUCAGGAGGAACACCGGUGGCGAAGGCGGUUCUCUGGGCCGAUACUGACGCUGAGGAGCGAAAGCGUGGGGAGCGAAUAGG
rnacentral:rRNA from 1 species